GCAACCUCCUCCUCUUCGCCUGUCCCUGUGGCCCCUCCCUUCAAAGGCAUAACCUCUCCUAAUCCCCCUCCCCCGGUUUCCGUGGAGACGGCCCAGACGAGCAGGUGACGCAUUGACAGGGAGCAGAUGGUUGCCCGUGGAGGACCACACUGUCUGUGAUGGACGUCCUUCUCUAUGUCCUCAUUUCCUGGUUCAUAUGAGGGCAUGUCCUGCAGACCUCAGACCCCCACGUUUCCUAUCCAGUAACACCAGGCCACGUCCUCCUCGCCAGGAACUGACACAACAAGGACAAGCCCUUAGCGGCCUGAAGACACAUUCAUGUGCAGACUCCAGGAGCAGGAGCCUGCAGCACUGCAGCACCACCAGAGGGAGGCGCUUCGCUGCUGUUGUUCCCUGUGUUCCAGUGCCAGUCCCCUCCCAGAAGAGCCUCCCCUGAGCUCCCAGUCUGCCGAAGUCCAACAUCCUCCACUGUCACUGACUCUGGGCAGCAGGGGACUGGAUCCAACCCUGCUCCAGCCUCAGCCCUGCCUCAUGUCCAUACUCAGAAAGGAGAGAAGGAAACAGAGGAUGGUGUUAAAGAGAUGGGUGGGGGCCUUCCGCCCUCCAAGGCCAGACCAGGAGCCCAAUUCUGGUCCUGAGGACAUAGGCCCCUCUCUCCAGUCCCUAGUGUCUGUGAGGGUUCUCUCUGAGUUUAGCCGCCCACCAUCCAGCCGAAGCACAGACCUGGGUAGUGGCCUGAGCAGUCCUCUAUGUGUGAAUCUGAGUGACCUGGACUCCGAGGGUGGCUCUCCUCUCUCCCAGCACGGCUCCUCUUCCAUGUCCCUGUCUGCUCUGGCCUCAUGCACCCCACAGGACCCCCAACACACCAGCCUCCAAACCCAGCCCCUCACCACCCUCUACACCAUCCCCUCCCUCACCAGGCCCAACUCUGCCCACCUGACUGGACCACCACGGAGCCCCAGCCAGGCCAUGUCCUCCAUCACUACCCAGACCUAG
rnacentral:lncRNA from 1 species